UAUAGGAGGUCCAGCCUGCCCAGUGAUUAUAAAUUCAACGGCCGCGGUAUUUUGACCGUGCAAAGGUAGCGCAAUCACUUGUCUUUUAAAUGAAGACCCGUAUGAACGGCUAGACGAGGGCUUAACUGUCUCCCCCUUCAAGUCAGUGAAAUUAACCUGCCCGUGCAGAGGCGGACAUAAAUAUACAAGACGAGAAGACCCUUUGGAGCUUGAGGUACAAAAAUUAACCACGUCAAGUAACCCAAUAAAAUGCAUAAAACUCCAUGGAAUUGAAAUUUUACCUUCGGUUGGGGCGACCACGGAGUAAAAUAAAACCUCCGAGUGGACCGGGAAAACCCCUAGAGUCAAGAAAGACAUCUCUAAGCCACAGAACAUCUGACCAAUAGUGAUCCGGGCUACAUGCACCGAUCAACGAACCAAGUUACCCUAGGGAUAACAGCGCAAUCCUCUCCGAGAGCCCAUAUCGACGAGAGGGUUUACGACCUCGAUGUUGGAUCAGGACAUCCUAAUGGUGCAGCCGCUAUUAAGGGUUCGUUUGUUCAACGAUUAAAGUCCUACGUGA
rnacentral:rRNA from 1 species